CCUACGGGAGGCAGCAGUGAGGAAUAUUGGUCAAUGGACGAGAGUCUGAACCAGCCAAGUAGCGUGAAGGAUGACUGCCCUAUGGGUUGUAAACUUCUUUUGUAUGGGAAUAAAGUCAGGCACGUGUGCCUUUUUGUAUGUACUUUAUGAAUAAGGAUCGGCUAACUCCGUGCCAGCAGCCGCGGUAAUACGGAGGAUCCGAGCGUUAUCCGGAUUUAUUGGGUUUAAAGGGAGCGUAGAUGGGUUGUUAAGUCAGUGGUGAAAGUUUGCGGCUCAACCCUAAAAUUGCAAUUAAUACUGGUAGCCUUGAGUACAGUUGAGGUAGGCGGAAUGCGUGGUGUAGCGGUGAAAUGCUGAGAGAUCACGAAGAACUCCGAUUGCGAAGGCAGCUUACCAAACUGUCACUGACAUUGAUGCUCGAAAGUGUGGGUAUCAAACAGGAUUAGAUACCCCAGUAGUC
rnacentral:rRNA from 1 species